UACGUAGGGGGCAAGCGUUGUCCGGAUUUAUUGGGCGUAAAGAGCGUGUAGGCGGUUUGGUAGGUCCGCUGUGAAAACUCGAGGCUCAACCUCGAGACGCCGGUGGAAACCAUCAGGCUAGAGUCCGGAAGAGGAGAGUGGAAUUCCUGGUGUAGCGGUGAAAUGCGCAGAUAUCGGGAAGAACACCCGUGGCGAAGGCGGCUCUCUGGGACGGUACUGACGCUGAGACGCGAAAGCGUGGGGAGCGAACAGG
rnacentral:rRNA from 1 species